AAAGAGAGGAACGUGUUUUCUUGGACUUCGAUGAUUGAUGGGUAUGGAAAGAACGGGAACCCUGAGGAAGCGCUUGAGCUCUUCGCUAAGAUGAAGGAAGUGAAUAUAGCACCUAACUAUGUAACCUUUCUUGGAGCUCUCUCUGCGUGUUCGCAUUCUGGUUUGGUUGAGAAUGGCUAUGAGGUUUUUGAGAGCAUGCAGAGAGAUUACUCUAUGAGGCCGAAGAUGGAGCACUAUGCUUGCAUGGUUGAUCUCAUGGGACGGGCUGGAGAUUUGAGUAAAGCUUUGGAGUUUGUUAGGGCGAUGCCGGAAAGGCCUAACUCUGAUGUUUGGGCUGCUCUUCUUAGCUCUUGUAGACUGCAUGGGAAUGUUGACAUUGCAAGCGAAGCUGCGGAUGAGCUUUUUAAACUGAAUGCGGAUAAAAGACCUGGGGCUUAAGUUUUGGCGGGAAAAUUCGGUUCUCCAGUUUUGGCGGGAAAAUUGUAUUUUUCGGUUUUGGCGGAAAAAUUGUAUUUUUCGGUUUUGGCGAGAAAAUGUGUUUUUUUUCGGGUUUGGCGAGAAAAUGCUUUGUUUCCGGUUUUGGCUGGUAAAUGCUUUUUGCGGUUUUGGCCGGAAAAUGCUUUUGGAGUUUUGGCGGGAAUAUGCGUUUUUUGGGUUUUGGUCGAAAACUGUGGUUUUACUGGUUUAGCUGAAAAAUAUAUUUUAAUGAAAAUGUGUGUUUUAUGUUUUUUGCGGAAAAAUGCAUCUUGCGGUUUUGGCGGGAAAUUGUGUUUUUCGUUUUUGCGAGAAAAUGUAUUUUCUGGUUUUGGCGGAAAAAUGUAUUUGCAAAAAAAUAAGAUUGACGGUUUGAAAAUAUUAUUUUGAUUUUAAAAGGUCAUUUUUGUCAUUUAUCAUUUUGGAUUAUACUAGAUGCAUCUGCAUCCAGAUGCACCAUCAAGACUCACCUUCAUUUGGGUGAGAAUUUGAGAUGAGUUUUUAAAAAUUCAGCUGGGUGAUCCAUCUGGAUGUAACAUUAUAAUGCGAUAAACGAACAUCAAUUUGCAUCUUCAUCGAGAUGGAUCACCUGGGUGAGCAAACGAACAGGACCUUGCAUUUAUACCAAAAGUCGUAGUGAGAAUCUAAAAUAGCCUUUCUAAUGGUGAAGAUAAAUGCAUGUGCUCUAAAGCAGAGUUUGUUUUAUGAUAUCUAUCUGCUGACAUUUGAAACAUAAGGUUUACUAAAAAGUCAAUGGGGGCAUUCCGAGAAUUGAACUCGGGACCUCUCGCACCCUAAGCGAGAAUCAUACCACUAGACCAAAUGCCCUGUUGUUUAGCAGUUUAGUUACAAUGUUGAAGAUCUGGUCAUAUUUUGAUCUCGUUCCCUAAGUUGACUUUUGUUAAACAAAAGUCUUUAGUUGGACCUAAUCUUUGAGAUCUUUUUGAACUGAAAUGAAUAAACAAAUAUUUCAGUCUUAGUUGUCUCUUGUAGAAAUCUAUGAUAUGCUGCUCCAGUCUGUUAUCAUGACUCAGUUUUACCUUAGCUGCUUAUCUGUUUUCACUGUUUAAAAUGCAAUACCUGAAUUAUAAUUCAUUCAUUUUGACUGUUUUUGAGUUAUAUGAUCUGCAAUGAAACUAAAAUAUUGAAAGCUCUUUCAGUUUGGUUUGGAAACAUUGUAAAGUAAAAAAUAUCAAAGGGGCAUUCCGAGAAUCGAACUCGGGACCUCUCGCACCCAAAGCGAGAAUCAUACCACUAGACCAAAUGCCCUGUUAUAGAUGUUAUCCAUUACAAGCAUUAGAAUCUUUGAGUUGAAACCAUGCCGUUAGGGUCUGUUAGAAUCUGCAGUUUCAAAUGUAACUUGAAUGAAAUGUUUUUGAGUCCCUCUGCUAGAUGUUCCCCAUUGAAUAUUCCUCUGUAGGAGUUGUUUGUGUUAUUUUCAUUUGGAUUUCUAGCAUCUCCUAGUGUAAGUCCUCUGAUACGAAUCUUGAUGAAUCUGGCACCUUACAAAAUGCAUGGCGGUUUACACUGCUUGAAAUUUAUUGGUUAAAAGACUUAUAUAAUGGGCGUGAAACAUUGCCUUGUUGACAUAAAUCAGUUAAUGCUUAGCUGUUUUUUGAACUUGAAUACUGGUUUUAAGCUAUGUUCUUUUGACUCUUGCAGUUAUCUCUUGAAGAAGUUGCAGCAUUCAGCUAUUCUCCAGAAAGUGUUUUCUUUCGAAAAGCCAAGGACCAAGGUUUAUUCUACAUAUAUAGUUGUUGAACAUGAAUAUAUAGUUGUUGAACAUGAGCGGUUCACAACUUAUGCAGUAAAACAGGUUUAUUCUACAAGAUAGUUCUCAGCUUGCAUUUUAGGACAGCUAUCCAAAAAAAGUCAAUGGGGGCAUUCCGAGAAUCGAACUCGGGACCUCUCGCACCCAAAGCGAGAAUCAUACCACUAGACCAAAUGCCCUGUUGUUUAUGUAAUUCGAUCAACGCAUAACUGUUCUUGAAACUCUAAUAUUACUGGAAAUCAACUGAUGUAGGUGUUAUGCUUUUCAUUUCUCACAGUUGCCGUUUUGGAGAACCUGGCAGCAUAACAAAAAGGUGUUUUCGUGAAGCAAAUAUGAGUCAUGGAAUGUGAAAGCAGAGGUACCUUGUGGAUCCAAUUCUACGAGUUUUUAAACUUCCGCACUCAAUUUUCCGAAGUCAUGAUGGGCUAUUGUUAUGAUUCUUGAUUGUCACUGUAAAUCCAUAUGCUAUUGAACAGAUUGUUUUACGUUUGAAUGUUAAUUAUCAUAAAGUUAUCAGCAAAAGCUUUUGCCUUUCAAACGUGACAUGAAGCACUGCAUAGGCUAAUGAACAGAGUUCCUGAAUGCUAUUGAUCAAGCUUCUCUUGUAUUUUGGAUUUUAACUUGCUCACAUUCCAAGAGCUAGAGAUUUGAGUCCUGCUGCUCAUUGUUUUUCUUUUUUUUUUUGGCUUAACAUUUUGAUGAACAACUAAUUCUAGAAGUUGUAUAAUUUUAGGGGGAGGAAACUUGUUAAUUGUUAGAUUCUUUCAUUUAAAAGUAUUACAGUGUUUUGUUUACAAAUGUAAAAAAAAAGCUGAAUAUUAAAAGUUAUGGUUAAAAUUCAAAUAUAAACCAAAGCCAACUAAUAUAAUGCUUCUACAACAAGAAACUUCUCUAUUACCAAACAACUGUUGGAAAAAACCACUGUUAUUACCGGACAAGGAUCGAUCUUGAUCACAGUUUAGAUCAGCUAAUGAGAAUCUUCAGACUCUCAUCAGUCGCACCGCGAAUUUUCCAGUCAAAUCACUACGCAACUCUCUCACCUGCGGCAACCAUCGCCGGAGCUCUUCAAGAACACAUCAACUCUCCGUCCCCAAACUCCGGGAAGAAGAUUCACGCCGACAUAAUCAAAACUGGGUUUAGACCAAAUCUAAACAUAUCCAUCAAACUACUUAUCUUACAUCUAAAAUGCGGAUGCAUGACUUACGCACGCCAAGUGUUCGACGAAUUGCCCAAACCAACGCUAUCGGCUUACAACUACUUGAUCAGUGGCUACCUGAAGCAAGGAUUGAUAAAGCAAUGUCUCCUCCUAGUCCAACGCAUGGCAUUCUCUGGUGAAAACGCAGACGGGUAUACGCUCUCCAUGGUUCUAAAGGCAUCAUCAUCAUCAUCUACUAGUCUUGGUAGCUUAUGCAGGCUUGUCCACGCCCGGAUUAUAAAAGGCCACGUUGAGCUAGACGAUGUGUUGGUGACUGCGCUUGUUGAUGCUUAUGUCAAGAGCGGGAAGCUGGAGUGUGCGAGGACAGUGUUCGAAACGAUGAAAGACGAGAGUGUGGUGUGUUCCACAUCGAUGAUCUCGGGUUACAUGAACCAAGGCCUCGUGGAGGAUGCUGAAGAGAUUUUUGAUAAGACUAGAGUGAAGGAUAUUGUAGUUUACAACGCUAUGGUCGAAGGUUUGAGCAGAACAGGUGAGACUGCUAAAAGAGCUGUUGAGAUGUAUGUCUUAAUGCAGCGGGCAGGUUUCCAUCCGAAUAUCUCGUCAUUCGCUAGCGUGAUCGGCGCGUGUUCGGUUCUGACCGCGCGUGAAGUUGGUAUGCAGGUGCACGGUCAGGUUAUGAAGAGUGGUGUGUAUACGCAUAUCAAAAUGGGGAGCUCUUUGUUGGAUAUGUAUGCAAAGUGCGGUGGGAUUGAUGAUGCGAGGAAGGUUUUUGAUCAGAUGAAAGAGAGGAACGUGUUUUCUUGGACUUCGAUGAUUGAUGGGUAUGGAAAGAACGGGAACCCUGAGGAAGCGCUUGAGCUCUUCGCUAAGAUGAAGGAAGUGAAUAUAGCACCUAACUAUGUAACCUUUCUUGGAGCUCUCUCUGCGUGUUCGCAUUCUGGUUUGGUUGAGAAUGGCUAUGAGGUUUUUGAGAGCAUGCAGAG
rnacentral:lncRNA from 1 species